rnacentral:lncRNA from 1 species
CCGUGCUGUUCACAUGCGUGAAAAGACUGGGACUGGCCUUCAAGUUUGGCUACAAAUUUCCAGUUGGAGGUAGCGUUCCAGUUGUAUUCAUUUCCCUGAUGAGAUGAAGACCCCAAUACCGUUCCUUGCAGCUCAGCAUAUAUCGUCGCAGAAAAAUGUCUACUCUUUUGUGAAACUAUCUAAUUAUUAGCUAACAUAUAUGAUGACUGUGUGGUAUGGUAUGGAAUUCUAACCAACUGCUCAUUCUAUAUACGAUGUCGAUAACAGUAAUGCCCCGGGAGUCAAGCCAAUUGUCGGCUCAGCAAAUAUUGCUCGAUCUUCAUUGUUUCUGAGCUACUAGUUUAAAUAACUCUAAUUCUCUUUAGAUGGCGCUAAUUAACUCUGAAUGACGCCACACCUACCCUCGAUCAGGGAAAUUCCUCUUUAAACCUCUGAACCCAGGGUACAACGCACCAGGCAAGCGAAAAAUUGCUUGACCACUGUGAGAAUCGGACCAGCGAUUUGCUGGUCCAGUACUCUACGAAAUGAGCUA